rnacentral:lncRNA from 1 species
AAGACAACUCAAUCGCCAUCAACACUUAAAUCCAUAAAAGUAAAUAUUGACAUAGAAAAAACCUAAACCCAAUUCAUGGAAGAGAGUAGAAACAGAAGCAAAAAUGGGUCAAAGGGAGGAAGUGACGAUGACGAUGUGGUUGAUGGGUCAAAGGGAGGAAGUGACGAUGAUGAUGUGGGUCAAGGAGAACUGUACUCUCCUGCUUAUUCCAUCAACGUGAGAAACAACAAAGCAAACCUUGAUGCUAAUGUGGGUCAAGGAGAAUUGUACUCUCCUUCCCAUGCCAUCAAAGUGAGCAAUAACAAAGCAAACCAAGAACCAUCGUCGCUGCUGCCGUCGUCGAUGGGAUUGGGUGUGGCUGCAGACCAUAUAAGGUGGAACUUGGGGGCCAUCAAGGACAGACUGUUGGAGAAGGUGGCAGCUGCUGCUGUUCCUGCUGAUGCUUUGGACAGUGCAC